UACGGGGGGAGCAAGCGUUGUUCGGAUUUACUGGGCGUAAAGGGCGCGUAGGCGGCCAGCACAAGUCAGUUGUGAAAUCUCCGAGCUUAACUCGGAAAGGUCAACUGAUACUGUGCGGCUAGAGUGCGGAAGGGGCAACUGGAAUUCUUGGUGUAGCGGUGAAAUGCGUAGAUAUCACUUGGAACGCCAAUGGUGAAGACAGCUCGCUGGGGGUGUCCUGACGCUGAGGCGCGAAAGCCAGGGGAGCGAACGGG
rnacentral:rRNA from 1 species